rnacentral:rRNA from 1 species
CUAGCUGUAAACGAUGGAUACUAGGCGUUGAGAGCAUCGACCCUCUCAGUGUCGUAGCUAACGCGUUAAGUAUCCCGCCUGGGGAGUACGCGCGCAAGCGUGAAACUCAAAGGAAUUGACGGGGGCCCGCACAAGCGGUGGAGUAUGUGGUUUAAUUCGAUGCAACGCGAAGAACCUUACCAGGGCUUGACAUGUCCGGAACCCUGCCCAAAGGCGGGGGUGCCUACGGGAACCGGAACACAGGUGGUGC